AUACGUAGGUGGCAAGCGUUAUCCGGAAUGACUGGGUGUAAAGAGCAUGUAGGCGGGAAUGCAAGUCAGAUGUGAAAUCUUAAGGCUCAACCUUAUUGAGCAUCUGAAACUGUGUUUCUUGAGUACUGGAGAGGAAAGUGGAAUUCCUAGUGUAGCGGUGAAAUGCGUAGAUAUUAGGAGGAACACCAGUGGCGAAGGCGGCUUUCUGGACAGUAACUGACGCUGAGAUGCGAAAGUGUGGGUAGCAAACAGGAUUAGAUACCCUGGUAGUCCACACCGUAAACGAUGGAUACUAGGUGUAGGAGGUAUCGACCCCUUCUGUGCCGGAGUUAACACAUUAAGUAUCCCACCUGGGAAGUACGGUCGCAAGACUGAA
rnacentral:rRNA from 1 species